rnacentral:rRNA from 1 species
AAAAUUAAAAGGACGCGGUAACCUUGACCGUGAUAAUGUAGCAUAAUCAUUCGCCAUUUAAUUGAUGGAUAGUAUGAAUGGUUAAACGAAUAUUUCACUGUCUUAAGAAGAAACACCAAAAAAUUGGAAUAAUAGUAAAGAUACUAUUUAAGAUUGUAAGACGAAAAGACCCUAUAGAGCUUAACUAUAAUUUAUCUGUAAGAAAAGAAAAAUUUUCCAAAAAAGAUAGAUUGGUAGUUUAGUUGGGGCGACUAUCUUUUAAAAAUAACAAAGAUAAGCAAAGUAAAUAAAGUAAACUUAUUGUAUAAUUAAUAGAUUUAACAAUUAUAAAAAUAGGCUAUAAUGACCCGUUAUAAUCUUAUAAACGAAAUAACGAUCAAUAAAUAAAAGCUACCUUAGGGAUAACAGGAUAAUUUUAUUUUAGAGAUCUUAUCGAAAAUAAAGUUUGUCACCUCUAUGUUGAAUUAAGA